AGCAGAUGCUUUUAACAGCUGAUGGUAUAAUAGAUAUGUGAUGGGGUUUCUCCCAUCACCAACUAGAGAAGAGAAAGAGCCUCAGUUAGAAACAUGUUCCACACCUGUGGGCUGAUGGAUUGACUGCCUUCUGGCCAGAGGGGGCCUUCUUGUUUACCAUUCACUGAAGCUGAUUCCACUGGACGGUUGAUACCCCAGAAGGGACCAUAUUGGAGAAGUGUCUUGGUCCUAGUCCCAGAACACAAAGGCAAAGGAUAAGGCAGUGCAGCACCUUGGAAGCAUCCAAAGGGCGCCUUAGAGGUACAGCACAGUGCAACACAGAGUCUGAAUGCCAGGAGGCGCUAUGACUGUAAAUAGCAGUGGUCACAAGGUAUCACUUAGAGUCAAAUCUCUGGCAGAGAGACUCAGGGCAAAGUGAAGGGGAAAGGGAUUCUUCUUGCUAGCCUGCAAACACUUCUUCACCUCCCUCUGUGACAUGGGAAGCAGGGCAGUUUUUACUUCUCCCAGGAGAUGGGGCACUGUUGAAGGGACACAGGUAGAUGUGUGGUGGAGGGGGUCUCUCCACUUUCUUGUAGACCUUGCAUUGCAUGUAGUCCAUAGUGCCUAGGUGUGCGUGUACAGAAUUGUAUGCAAAUCUCAUUGUACCACAUUUGGUCCCCAUGGUUACCUGCGGCACUUGGACUGAGAAACCGUGGAGCGAGACUCCUGAAAUAUGUAACAAUGGGUGUGAAAUCUCAACCAGAAUCACUGGAGGAGAUGGAGCACCAGCAGCUAGUGAAUGUUACCCAGUGGAAUGGCACAGGCCCAGCUGGUGGCGUUGGGACAGCGUGGGACUGGGCUCCCACACUGCAGCGAGGACAAGAGGCGCCUGGAAAGAAGCGAAGAGAGACUGCAGCCCUGGAGUUGGUGUGUUCUCUGUGCUGGCACCUAUAGCUGCCCCAAAGCUGCAUUAUUCCUAUGAGGCAAGUCCUCCUCUUCAUCCCUGUGACAGCUCCUCAGGCUGCUGCAUGAAACAGCUCUUUAGAAAUGGGGGUGCUAAAUCCACCGCUGUGCGUGUCCAUGAGUUACCAUGUCCUGUGGACUCGGGACCUCUCCACCAGGCACCCUUUUCCAGCCCUGAAGCCAGAGUAGCAUGCAUUGGCCAGGCCUGCUACCACGCCUCAGCUUGGAAGGACUCCUUGUCCUAAGGAGAUCCCCAGAGUCCAGGCCAGGUGCUCCAGCUGGGCACUGUGAGAGGAUAUGUCCUGUUAUGAGCACACAUUUGUAGACUCCAUGUUCGCAGACACAGUUGUAAGCUGUGGGCUCAGGAUCGAGACAUCUGGUCUCUCUUGGAGCAAAUGCACAAGCCAUACCAUUGGUCCUAAGGACUUAAGGCUGGAGUCUAUUCUGAGUUACUCCACUUACUCCCAAGGGUUUGCGCACAUGUACCUAUAUUCAUCCACAACCCUGGACGCCUCUGCAGGUGUCAAAUCCCGUUGCUUCACCCCACCCAAUCUUACUUCUCAUUGCCUGAAAUACCCUGGACAACUAGCCAGAGAUGUCUGAGACCAACUAAAAUAGCCACAAAGAGCCUGUAGAAAUGGCAAUAAAACUAGAGCAUCAAAACCAAUGUAGAAAACAACAUAUCUGCCAUUCUCUUCUCUAGAGCUGCCCACGUGUGAAUCUCAACACACCUCAGCAAGAUCCAGCCAGGGAUGAGCCUCAUAGAUAAAUGGGAUUAUCCCCAUUCUACAGGUGGAGAAACAAAGGUGCAGAGAGGUUAAGUGAUUUCACCAAGAUAGUAGCAGAGCCAGGCCUAGGACCCAUGUGUGAUAGCUCUUAAAUCUGUGUUUCACACACUGGACCAUGCUAAGAAAUAACUUUUCUAACCUGGCUGAUACAGCUCAUUGAACUCCUCUGAGCGUCACACCCAUCAGCACAGUCACUCACAGAGCCACACGCGUGCACACAAACACACAAUCCUAGGGAUAUGCUGAUAAAUGAACAGAAGCCAUCCAGAGCCCUUUCCGUGUUGCUGAAACUGAUUGGCAUCCCUCACUAAUUAAUCCAAGAUGAGUAGCUAAUUCAGGACCUUGAUUACGACUUUGCAUAAUAAAAAAAAAAAAAAAGACAAUCAGCAGCAGGAGCAGUGGAAGAAACCUGCUAAUCAGCGACGGUGUCUUGAUGGGCUCAGUGCUUGGGUUCGCUCCUGCGGAUCUAGGCUAUUUAAAGAGUUGGGGGUCGAGAAUGAAACAAAACAGCGAAGAGCUCGGUGAUGUGUAACAACACUCUGCCCUGUGAUAGUGCUUUUCAGUCACGGCUCUCAAGGCACUUGACCAGCACUUAUGAACUUAGCUUCCCAGGAACCCUGGGAGGCAUAUGACGGAUGGGGACACCAAGGCGCAACGCGGUUUGCUGAUUUGCCUGACACGCUAGUGGUGCAGCCAAUGUAUGCUACAUGAUACCACUUGUGUUAACCGCCUUCUGUGUAACAACCUGUCCCAACUUGUAUUUUGCUCACACUCUGGUUUCCUUCCCCAGACCGGAAGAAGAAUUCUGUGAAGCUCAAUAGCUUGUACCUUCCACCAACAGACAUAGGUCCAAUAUAUGAUUUUAUUAACAUUUUGUAGGUCUUUGUUCUGCAGGGAGCCCAAAAAACAUUUAUACAGGUGUCUCCAGGGCAGGCGCAUUCCCUUUGUAGCAUCUGGCACCGGCUACUGUCGAAAGACAGGAUACUGGGCUAGAUGGACCAUUGCUCUGAUGCACUAUGGCCAUUCUUAUGCUCUUAGGAAAUCAUAGUUUAUACAUACACAUGCAGUGCAGCAAAAACCAUCCUAGCCCCGUUUCCAGAGGUGGCUCAUUGGCUCGGCAGUAAAAGUCAGCCAGCUUAACAUGCAGGAUUUUAAAAGUUGGAAGCAGCCCUGGCUGUAUCUCGCCACCUCACUGACGAGCCAGCUCACUGCCAACCUCAUUUGAAAACAUAUAUUUUCUCCCUUGCCUAUGGCUCCUAAGUUCUCUCUCUCCCUGGCCCUCUCUUGCUGCUGCUAACUAUUGUGUAUUAUUUAACUCUGCAAAGCACUUCGGGGAUGCAAUUGGUGUGAUUGCUACAAUAUGAAACAGCCCUGAACCUGCAAUUUGUCCAGGUAGACCUCUGUGCUCAGGAAGACCCCCACACGGACUAUGUUGUACUUAUUGAACAGGACUCAAGGAGACUGACUGGCUCAGGGGAUGGGUGCUGAGCUGUAACACUUGGACCUGUUGGCUGCCGGUUUAAAUCGGGCCCUGAUCAGUAGUGGGUGAAAAUUGUCUGAUGGCAGAGACUUCUCUGGCUGCUGCUUGUUCUGUGUUGGACCAUCCUGCCUGGGUUUCUUGUUUGUCGCAGGCCUGACUCUGCUUGGUCUGACGCAUGUACUGCUGGCCUCACUUUCCCCACUGGUCAGAGAGGGUGAGUCAGAGUGGAGCCUGGGUAACAGGGGUAGAUCACACGCAAGAAAAAUGUGAACAGCCACUGUUGUGGCUGGUGUGACCAUCAGUGCUGGAACUAGCGGGGCUGCCUGGCGCACCCCCUGGCUUGGAAAGGUUUCCAUUAUAUACACUGUUUACAGUUCAAUGGCUUUCGGCACCCCCCUGCACAAAUUGCUCCAGCCCCCCUGGUUGUGACUGCAGAACUCAUCAUACACACCAGUACCAGUCUAGUCCUCCAUCAAUACGGUCUGCCAUUGCCCAGAACCGUCACUGUGACAAUGGGACCAGCUUGUGGUCCCCCAUCAAACCAAUAGAGAAGGGCCUGGGAAUGGAGCCUUGUCCGAAGUGCAAGCAGGGCUCUGUACAAAGACUCCUGCAGUCGCUGUGACACCUGAGGCAGCUCAAGUCAUCUGUGUGUCGCUCCCACUCGGCCCCUCUGUGCCUCACAUCACUCAGCCCUCCCCUUGCACCUCUUCUAGAGGGCAAAAAACCUGACACCUUGGCUUGUCCAGAUGGCACUUUGCCUUGCACCAGACUUUCCAGGCAAUUUGUUUGUCCCCAGCCCGCUCUCCAUCAGGCUCCCAGCAUUGCUAGGUCCUCUCCCUCAGAUGGGAUUAAAGAAGUGCUGCUUAUAAAGGAUACGGAAAGCAGAGGUCACUUAUGAAAGAGACAAUACCUCCCUCAUGCUCACAUCAGUGUACAGUGCAGAGCGCACCGUGCAUGCCCAGGGGGGCGAGGGAGAGGAUAGUCUCCAAUGAUCCCAUUGAGGGGGUCCACAUAAGCCCUACUGACACAUAUUCUGGGGUCACAUCUCUCUGGCAGUCUUGAAUGGUUGCCAUGAAUUCUGCACCCAUCAGGAGGUGAGUCAGGGCAAGGGGGUUCGGGGAAGACGCUGAGUGGGGGUUACAAAGGCUGUGGGCAUCACUCUUCCUAAGGAAAGCAGCUGCCCCCAAGGAAUUACCCCUGGUUUAGGUCCAGCCUGGUACAACCGAGCCUCCACACAGCACCGAUUUGUCGUGAACAGCAGCUUUAUCAGCACUGAUUGUGAGUGAUGCCACCCUCCUUUCUCCUCAACCCCCGGCUUUCACACAGGGCUGCCAAGGAAUGGGACAGGGCUCGUCAGGAGGAGACACUAGUGAUUUGAACAAUGGACUCAUUGUUUCUGAAACUGGCCACUGGUCUCUGUUAGCACACUCAAAACCACAGAGCCCUUCUCUGUGCCCUGUGUAGCUGCUUCACAGCUUUCCAUCUUGGGCACUUCUUUGGUAACUUCAGCCAUGAGCCAAUUCUUGGGUGACAGCAGAAGCGGACGAGUAGCAAAUGCAUAGGAGGACAGAGCCAAACUACACCAGAACCUAGAGAAGUUGGAGCAGUGAGGCCUGGAGCCUAGAACAGGAGCUCAGGUUCUAAGACAGGUUAAGUCCUGAAACCUAGAGAGAGGAACUGAAUGGCGCAGAAACAGAAAGUGGGGAUGUAAGCAAGAAGCAGCACCCAGCACUGCAGUAGAGUGAAAUUACUUUCAUCUUGCCCCUUUGAUACUGUCAUAGAAUCAUAGAAUAUCAGGGUUGGAAGGGACCUCAGGAAGUCAUCUAGUCCAACCCUCUGCUCAAAGCAGGACCAAUCCCCAAUUUUUGCCCCAGAUCCCUAAAUGGCCCCCUCAAGCGUUGAACUCACAACCCUGGGUUUAGCAAGCAAAUGCCCAAACCACUGAGCUAUCCCUCCCCAGCUUUUAAAAAAUGGGGGUUGAAACCAGUGGGAUUGACCACAGUAAUUUACCAAUGUAAACAUGUGAUGUUACUGAGCGUUAUAAUCAAGGUCCCCACAUACUCUGGGGUGAGAGGAGCCAAACUUCUCCAGCGAGGACCUUGGGCUCUCCAGCAGCUUCUGGUCAUUUUUUAAAUUGAGGAUUUUAUUGAGUUAAAUACAAAAAAUGAAUAAUACAGUCAGCGCAGCAGUCCCCGUGCUGUUUAUGUUACUGCUGCAUUCAAUUCAUUUGAUGCUGUCCCUACAGUUUUAGUUUUCAAUAUUCCCCAGAGUGGCAUCAUUAGGUUCCAGAAUUAACAAUCAAUUGCUAUCAAUGGGGUGGUUCACACCUCUCAGAGCCACUGUUUCAGGCUGUCUGCAGACUUAGACAGACAUCGCUGCCUUGGUUACACUCUGCUUGUGUUUAUCUUUGCAACCAGGAGGGCUGGAAACCAUUUGUUUCAAAAUGAGAGCUGAGACGUUAGAGCAAGGAGUGGCCUCCAGGGGGAAUUCUGAGCUGCAGAAUCCAGAAUGCAUUGAGCCCUGGCUAUAAUGGCCACAGGGAAGGUGCGGGAUCAGGGUAGGAAGGAAGACUGACCUGAAGUAAUAGUGCAUGUUAAAAAAAUGUUGGAAAAUCACUGCAAUCAUCAGAAAACAAAAGGAACUGCAGAGGAUGCUGGGUAACAUUAUGCAAAUUACCAUUGCAGUCGCCAGGCUGAUUUCUUAAAAAUCCCCAGCUCUGUUAGCACAAUUAAUGGGAAAAUCUGCUUUUCUGCCUCUCUGAAAAUUUUCAAAGCAGUUCCCAGCCUAUCCUGCGAUUCCAGUUUUCCUUAUUAACAUAUUCAGGCAUCUUUCAGGGCGGGGCACUGAGUCCCCACAACUAACGUGUCAGUCAGCUCUGUCACCAAGGAGUGCACCUGGAGGACAGGAUUUUACCCUCUGAUUUCUCCAUUGGGCUCUUGGCAGAACGCAAACAAGCUAUUGCCGGAUUUUUUUGUUCUCCUUGCUGCCACUGCACAUAGUCUGUCUGUCUCCCCCUUUCACUCAUGCUCUCUCUUGGACGAGAAAUCCUCCCAUACAUUUUAAUGCCGACGAGCAUUAAUGCAUCUAACUGCCCCCUUGAGCUCUUCCAAUAGCUGAGUGACACACCAGGAAAUAGACCUAGACAGGACUGGCCUCAGUUCCCUAUUCAAAUUCCUUCAUAGAUCAGUAAGAUUACAGUGCACAGAGAAGAAGCAUUUUCAGCAGACCCUUUUCAUCAAAAGAAAUACAGCAACAAGACAGGGGGAGAUUUAAUCAGGCGCUCCACCGGCGAAGCCAACUCAAAGGAAGUGGCUAGUGCUGAAUGGAAGCCUUCCCUUUCCAAGAUCUGGCCCUGUCCCCCAGUCUUAAUCAGCCAGGGCGUGCAUGAAGUAUAAGGCUUUAUUGGAGAUGUCAAUGCUAUUGACACGUGCAGCGCAUUAAAUGCCUUACUGAGGAUUUGCAUAAAUCGGGGAGGAAGGGAGAGCAUUGAGAAAAGGAUCAACAAUGACAAACUGAAUGUGCUAAGGUGCUUAAAAAAAAAAUGAUAAGGGAAUAAACCAGUUAAGAGAAUACAUUACUCGCACAACAGUUUAUUCAAAUCCUGUUUUACUGGAAAUCCUCUUAAGUGAUCACCUGAUCAUGUGUUAAAUUCCUAAUUGAAUAAUCUGUUCACUACAUAUUCCUAUAGACACAGCCACCUGGCAAGUGGCAGAGGCAGAUAAGGUAAAGAUCUGGGGAGCUCAGCUCUGAUGGGACAAUUAUAAGAAUUGUUUUGGUGAAACUAUCACUAAACUGACUGAAUGUCCUGGAUGGUGGGCGGCUGGCUUAGCCACUUGGAAAAGAAAAGCUUAGCCACUUGGAAGAGAAAAGGGAAAAGAUUAUAUAAUGUAGAGAUGGGCCAAACUUACUGAGUUUGGAUCUGGUUCCCAAUUUUACUCUAAUCCACCCAGAGCUUGGGAGCAUUUGGAUUUGAGCCAGGCCAUUAGAGAGACAGGCUCAGCCUAGGACAUUCAGGAUGCAACGCUCCCGUUGAGUUUGGAGCCAUCCCCAAGACAGUGCUCCCAUCUUUAAGGCUCUGAAUUUUGUGGCAAUGCAUUGCUACUCAGCAGCCUGUCUGCACAUGAGAAUCCCAUAGAGCUUUGGAAGGGAACAUGCCUGGCUCCAGUGAGAGCUUCAGGGCCCCCCUUGGGAGAACCUGCUCUGCUUUCACGGGCAGAAACAAGGUCACCCUCUAGCUACAAAAGGCCUUGGCCUUAAAGGGAAAACGUGCCUGCUGCCCACCCACCCCUCCAUCCCAGCAUGCUGGCGUGUUCCAGCCGACAUCCGUCCCCAGGAAGCUCUAUCAAAGACCAAGCUUGGCUUCUGUAGAAAUUAAACCCAUUAUGCACCAUCUUCCGCUACCAAAACACCGGCACCUGCACAUAGAAACUCAGUGCAAAGACAACAGCACUUAGCAAAACAGAAAAACUAUUCUUGAGCAAAAAGCCGCAGCAGUUUUUACAGCCAUUAGUUAGCAAUCGCUCCAGCUCUGCCAGCUGCUCAAUCUAAACAAACCCCACUGUCAGGCAGCCAAACCAACACAAAGCAGGCUGCCAGUAGCAGGAUGAAACACUGGCCACAGGCAGCAGUUGGAGACAGCGUGUAACUAUGAGCACCUUGGGUUACAGCAGAGGAUGUAUAUGCAUAGAUCCAUACUCCCAUGGUCAGGAGGCCUCUGCAGGCACCAACACUCAAAUUUUUGCAUCAGAUCCUAUGAGAUGCUGAGUUCCUCCCGCAUGGUGGAGUGCCCCCCUCAAGCCCCACUGACCUCGGGGCCUAUGUCCUCAUACAAACCCCUUCCACGUGUCCUUGAGCAAAGUCUCUUUUUCCUUUCCAAACCUUCAUUUAGAGAGGAGAAAAUCAGCAUUUGCUGACUGAAAUGCAAAUCCUCUUCCACCCUGGCAUAGCAUGAAAAGUGUUUCCCAGACACACAUCCCGAUUUCGUUCCCCCUUGUCGUCACUCUCUGCUGCUGUACUCUGUAUCUAAUACUUGCACAUGGCAAUGCUGAUAAAUUCAAUGAAGCCGUUCUGGAAAGCUACUGAAAAUGCCCAGGCUCAUCAGAAAACUCUUGAAUACCAGGGAGGAAUUGAUGGCCCAAAAGCAGACGGGUGACACCGCUGGAUCUUGUUCAAGACCUUGGAAUCUCACUGUCAUGCGCCAUUGUGCUGAAGUUUUCUGCUUCAAGGAAGGACUGGCUAGGUCAUAGGCCAAGACACUAAUCUGCUGUCACAGUGGAUGGGCAAGAGCAUCAUUUGACUAAUGGGAUCUCCAACUUUCCAAUGUCACGUGAUGUUUGUCUUCAGCCCCGGCAGUCGGCAAUGGCAUAAGAGGAAGAACUGUCUUGUGGUUAAGGAAAAUGCAUCUCGAAGGGGAACUGGACUAUACAAGUGAGGGGCAAAACCACCCCAAGUUCUCUCUCCCUAUCUAUCUCUUUCUUUUCGCCAAGCAAGACAAAAGAAACAGCUGUUGGACUUUGGGAGCAGAUCUUAACCUAAGACUUUGGUCAGUGAUGUUACUGGAAACAUGCGUCACAGAAGGAUGCUGAUCUGCCCCUCACCACCGACGCUGUGGAUGUGCUUUCAUGCAAGUAAACCAGCUUUGCAUGUCCUUGAAUAUCCCAGAGUGCAUCUGCUAAUGUACACUCGGAUAUCCAUCAUAGCCAGUGGUGAGAGUGAGAAGGGUCUGUGUCUGCAGCAGGCUUCACUCCCCAGUGCAAUCACCAGGCCUUCUCCAGCCGGAAGAGGUAAGCUGGCGGAAGAGAAAACAAAACCGCAGCCCCUGGCAAUGAAAGGUUUGUGGCCCCCUCCUUCGGAGCAGAGGUGCUGCUUACAGGCUCUUUAUCAGACGCAAUUAGAUUGUUAGGGCCCGAAAGACAUCUCUCUCCUCAGUCAAUGCGGCAGCGAGGAAUGAUCAGAGGGGAAGGUUCUCUGAUGAUUAUUCAAAGUUCCUUUCUCUGGAACACCCUUUUCUUCCCUGGACAGCAGGCUUUGGCUUGCGGAACGUUUCAGCCAGGGUGGAGGGACAGGCACUGUGGAGCUGAGGUUCCUCCUCAGCAGAGGCAGGGUGGGCAUUGCUACAGUCAGGCAGAGACAGGUUUUGAGUGACCCUUACUGGUAUUGCUCCAUAUCUUCUGCCCUCCUCCUGUGAGCCAUGAUGUUCUGCUACCCCCACUGGCUAGUUAUUCUCACGCUAGAGGGCAAGCACUGGUUUCUGCACAUGCUUUACCAUCAGGUGCCAUUUCUGCAGAGAGUAGUUUAGGUUUUACACAUACCUGACACUUGAGGUCAUACCAACGAUGUAAUUUCUACUGAGAAAUUAAUUUCCCUCUUAGGAAAGCAGGUUCCGCAACAGCCGAAGGCAGCUCCUCUUUAUCGUUUGCUGGUGUACUGGAAGUGUUUGCAUCUACAAUUGGUUCUAGAUUCCUGCCCGAUAAAGUCUCCUCAAACGUCUUGGAAUGGCCUGGGAAUCAGAGAGAGGGAGACAGGAGCUGUUAAAAAAAAGCGCCACAGAAUGAAAUUAAUAUAUAUAGAAUUUAGUAACAUUUAAAAUGGGGAAAAAAAGAAAGAAGUAGUUACACUCUGACCUCUUGAAAUGUAAAUUGCCUUUCACCCUGGGACACAUGAAAGGCUGUUUCAAAUAUGAAAAUGUACAAAGUCUUUCUAUUCCCUUGCCCCUUUAUUUUUAAAUUGUUUUCUGUAGAAAAGGGAACAGAAGCUCAGUGUGAUUUUGCUUUAUUUGCUGUCUGUGCAGAGGAACCGUUUGCUUUGUUCCUCCACUGCACAGAGCUCUUCAAAGGCAGACCUGUAGCUGACAGCAAGGGCUCGGUGCACAAGGAUGAACCAUUCCUAAGGGCUCCGGUUUCGUUGCAUAACGCUGCCAAGCCCACCGCGCGAGCUCAGCAAACCGGCAUGUGCUGUGGGAUUUGGUCCUGAAGCUGCAACAAAGGGCCAGUAGCAGCACAGAUGGAAAGAUGAACUGGAAACUGGCGUAGGAUCCGCUUAAUCCCACACAGGGAUGCUUGGCAGCAAGAGGGUGAAACCCGGAGUUCACAAAGACACUGGUGUUGCUGUGGAAAAAAUGUCACAUGGACAACAGGGAAAUACAUGAAUUUAUGUCAUGGCUCUUCCCCACAGUAUCUGAGCACCUUCCAUCCAAGACAUGAAGUGUGCCAUAAAUUAAUAAAUGUCGGCAGAACAGGCGUUAUCUGCAUUUCACAGAUGGGUGAAACAGGACAGAGAGAGGCAACACCACUGGCUCGCUCUUAUACAGCUAGUCAGAGGCAGACCUGGGAACCGAACAAGGAUUAUUAGUAAAUACUUUCAUUGCCAUUGCACCCAGAGGCCCCAGUCCACGUGGGGCCCCAUGGUACUGUAUGCUCUAAACACACAAGAUGACACAAUCCGAGGCCUGUGCUUUUGCCAUGAGAACAUGCUCCUCCCCAUCUCCACUCCCCACAGUGCCUUGGAAAAGAGACCCUAGUUGUAUAGGGCAGAAACGAUGAGUUAUCCCUUAUUCUUUAAAAAAGUCACAGAAUCUUUACCUCCUACCAGAGGUGCUAAAUUAACAUCCUAUCUCAGCAGCUCAUCUAAAGAGCAGCACCCUCCACUGGCAGACGCCAUAAACUCAGUGUCCUUGUCAGUCUUGGGUAGGUGCCCAACUCCUAGAGUCAAUCAUGAAUACUUCUGGCUCUGAUGAAGGAGGCCCUCUUCAGGGCAGUCCUGGCACGACAUAUUCUCGCCCUUCCCUAGUGGCGAUUAAACAUUACUGCUCCAUAUAGAGGAUAAAGCCUCAUACCAAUAUUGAACCUAUAAUGUACAUAUCACAGUGAGACAGACUAUAUGCCUAUAUUCAUCCUUUUUACAAAUCCAUGAUAAAUUUUGUACAAAGUAUGCCUUCUGAGGUAUCCUCUGAAAACUCCAUCUGCUGAACAUUAUUAUUCCUGAUAAAAUAUAUGUAUCAUCAUUGUAUGUAAAGUUAUAAGAUUCUACUGUAUAACAUGCUCCAAGUUUAGAAAAGCAGGCACAAACCAGUUCCUCAGGAACAAAUGACAAACCAACACAUUAGCCAGGUGUCAACAAAAUCAACUGGACCAUCAGCUAGGUUAGUGGCCAUUCAAGAAGGGUGUGAGCAAGAAUUUUACAGAUUGCCAGUAGAACAACUGGAGGUUCCCAUGUAAACAGACUGGCUGUCGCCUGACCCCCAGCUGGAGAUAAUCUUCAAAGAGAGGAUAAUGGUAUAAGAAAAAAUAACACACACAAGACAAAUUACCACUCUCCUCCACACCUCUCUGCUCCACUCCUCUCUGCUCAUGGCAGCAACAACACCUGAAGAAACACUGACCUGCAGGACGAGUCCAGUAGAUAGUCUACAUUUUAUCUUUUCUUUUCUUUGUAACCAGUUCUGACAUCUCUGGCCCUAUACUUAUAAUCACUUAAAAUCUAUCUUUCUGUAGUUAAUAAACUUGUUUUAUUGUUUUAGCUAAA